rnacentral:rRNA from 1 species
CCUACGGGAGGCAGCAGUGAGGAAUAUUGGUCAAUGGACGAGAGUCUGAACCAGCCAAGUAGCGUGAAGGAUGACUGCCCUAUGGGUUGUAAACUUCUUUUAUCUGGGAAUAAAAUGUUCCACGUGUCCGAGUUUGUAUGUAUCAUAUGAAUAAGGAUCGGCUAACUCCGUGCCCGCAGCCGCGGUAAUACGGAGGAUCCGAGCGUUAUCCGGAUUUAUUGGGGUUAAAGGGAGCGUAGGUGGAUUGUUAAGUCAGGUGGGAAAGUUUUCGGCUCAACCGGAAAAUUGCAGGUGAAACUGGGAGGCUUGAGUACAGCAGAGGUGGCCGGAAUUGCGUGGUGUAGCGGUGAAAUGCUUAGAUAUCACGAAGAACUCCGAUUGCGAAGGCAGCUCACUGGAGCGAAACUGACACUGAGGCUCGAAAGUGUGGGUAUCAAACAGGAUUAGAUACCCUUGUAGGC